rnacentral:lncRNA from 1 species
GGAGAUCAAGUUGAUGCAGCCUUGCCAACCCGUACGAACUCGUGAAAAGAAGAAAAGUAUUGGCGAAGUCGCCUGCUCGAAAGUAAAGUACGAGGAAAUAGUAUGUUGUUGUAUUGAUUUGGUGAUGAUUACAGAUCUAUGAAGGUGGCUAUUUAUAGCCUGUUACAACCAAUUUCUUAACCGACUAGGACUCUAUCUCUAAUUUUAAACGAAAACAAAUAUUUACAAGUAUGAUUCGUACUGGAGUUGAUCAUCGCGCUCUCAUGGGCUGACUCCCUCUUCAUCUUCAUAAUUCACUUUAAGCCCAUACCGGCCCAAUCGCUCCAGCCUCCUAAUCGGCCGAUUUCCACCAACUCCAUCCGCGGAAACACUGCAGCACCAAUCGGCCGAUCCUCAACUGUAACACCAAUCGGCCGAUUUCGAAUUGUGACUUCUGUGUUUUGCCACAUCUCCUGAUUUCUUCCUUUCUUGUCGCCGAUUUCACACGUGUCAAAAUAUGGCGUCAACACAUGCCCCCCAGUUUUGAAGUAAAACAUAGUCUUUACUUCAAAAUUCUUUUCAACUUCCCUUCCGAAAUAAACGUAUUGAAAAUAUCCUUCCGUUUCGCGGUCUCCAGCCUGAUGAUUGUAAUCUUUUCGAAACGGGCACCCACAACAACCACUCCUCCCAAAAAAAUCAAAACGCCGGCGCGGUAAAAAUUCCGCUUUUACCCCUUCUCAGACCACCUUUAAAUACAAGCUCGUCCCGUACUUCUCUUCACGAGCUCACAUCUUCCUUCUUUAGCGCUCUGACCUUCUUCUUCCUCCGGCACCUUCCUUAGACUCUAGUUCUUUUUCUCCGGCAUCUCCUUCCAUCUACACUCCACCCUACUUCUCCAAUGGCGGCACCCUCAGGCACCUCACCAACACCCGAAGCUCCGGAGAUGGCUCCACCAGUAGGAGUUCCAGUGGCAAUGGCAGCGGCUCCAUCGGUGGGAGAAGGAGCUCCACCGGCGGGAGUUGGGGCUUCGACUGAAGUCCCAUCGGCGGCUUCAGCAUCCGCAGCUCUUCCGGCAAUCCUGCCAACUACGAUGAGCUUCAUCCCGGAGGUCAUUACCGAAACUCUCCUUUCUUUAAUAAUAAUGCAUUUACUUUAGAUCCGUUCUUACUUCCGCACCCCUUUUUCCUUUUUUAGGCGGUUAGACAUCAGAUUACCAUCCGUCUCAUAGAAACUCC